UACGUAGGGUGCGAGCGUUAAUCGGAAUUACUGGGCGUAAAGCGUGCGCAGGCGGUCUCGCAAGUCCGAUGUGAAAUCCCCGGGCUCAACCUGGGAACUGCGUUGGAAACUACGAGGCUGGAGUACGGCAGAGGGGGGUGGAAUUCCACGUGUAGCAGUGAAAUGCGUAGAUAUGUGGAGGAACACCGAUGGCGAAGGCGGCAUUCUGGACCGGCAUUGACGCUGAUGAACGAAAGCCAGGGGAGCAAACGGG
rnacentral:rRNA from 1 species